ensembl:lncRNA
GGGACUAACUACAGCAGGGGGUUUAAACCUCUCCUCAGGGACUCCCUACAGCAGGGGGGGGUUUAAACCUCUCCUCAGGGACUCCUUACAGCAGGGGGUUUAAACCUCUCCUCAGGGACUCCUUAUAGCAGGGGGUUUAAACCUCUCCUCAGGGACUCCUUACAGCAGGGGGGUUUAAACCUCUCCUCAGGGACUCCUUACAGCAGGGGGUUUAAACCUCUCCUCAGGGACUCCCUACAGCAGGGGGUUUAAACCUCUCCUCAGGGACUCCUUACAGCAGGGGUUUAAACCUCUCCUCGGGGACUAACUACAGCAGGGGGGUUAAACCUCUCCUCAGGGACUCCUUACAGCAGGGGGUUUAAACCUCUCCUCAGG